rnacentral:rRNA from 1 species
UACGUAGGGGGGCAAGCGUUGUCCGGAUUUAUUGGGCGUAAAGAGCUCGUAGGCGGUUUGGUAAGUCUGGUGUGAAAUCUCCACGCUCAACGUGGAGGGGCCACCCGAUACUGCCAUGACUGGAGUCCGGUAGAGGAGUGUGGAAUUCCCGGUGUAGCGGUGAAAUGCGUAGAGAUGUGGAGGAACACCAGUGGCGAAGGCGACUCUUUGGCCUGUAACUGACGCUGAGGCGCGAAAGCGUGGGGAGCAAACAGG